rnacentral:SRP_RNA from 3 species
CGGCGGGCAGGCCCGGGGGGCUCGGCCUCCCCUGUAACCGCAAACGGCCGAUAUGGCGGGGGCAGCAACCCGACAAGCGGCCUACAACCAUCUGAUGUCCCUCCAGCUCUGAACCAUGAGACUUCGCCCCAUGGAGACGCUGUAGGGGGCAGCUCCCCCGUAGGGGGGAUGUGAACCCCUCACCGGCCGAACCAGGUUAGGCCCGGGAGGGAGCGGCCUUAAGGCCGGGCAGCGUCGUUCAUGGGUUAACGGGGUCGAGAAAGGGGCUGGACGGGGUUCAGAUGGUUUGGGCCCACUGUCGGGGGCCGCCG